GCACAAGCAGCGGAGCGUGUGGUUUAAUUCGAGGCUACACGAAGAACCUUACCAGGGUUUGACAUGCAAGUGGUAGGAAUCCGAAAGGUGACCGACCCUUCGGGGAGCUUGCACAGGUGCUGCAUGGCUGUCGUCAGCUCGUGUCGUGAGAUGUUCGGUUAAGUCCGCUAACGAGCGCAACCCUCGUCGUGUGUUAUACGUGUCACACGAUACUGCCGGUAUCAAGCCGGAGGAAGGUGGGGAUGAUGUCAAGUCAGCAUGGCCUUUAUAUCCUGGGCUACACACACGCUACAAUGGCAGAUACAAUAGGUUGCGAAACCGCGAGGUGGAGCCAAUCCUCAAAGUCCGUCUCAGUUCAGAUUGUAGGCUGCAACUCGCCUGCAUGAAGUUGGAGUUGCUAGUAAACGCAGGUCAGCUAUACUGCGUUGAAUACGUUCCCGGGGUUU
rnacentral:rRNA from 1 species